AGAGUAAACAUAGCAAUUAGUCAUCCUCUCCAGAACCCUAAUCACUUUUCUAGGCAGAGCUAAGAUUAUCAUUAGAGUAACGUCGCAAAUCACUUUAAGAACAAACCAUUAAUCUUCACAUUUAAUUUUAGUAAAUUCGAGAACCCACUACUUCUCAUUACAGUCCUUUUCAGCUUCUUUGCAAUCUGAUACCUAUAAAAAGGCAUCUCCGGCGCCAUGAUUUUCACAGAUUCCUCUCUUUUCCACUCAACCAACAUACAAAGAUGAACCUUAAAGAACAAUAGCGACUUCCAAGACACCACUUUCCGAGUUAAAGCCCGAGCCUUACAGUCGAAUCUCCUCAGAUAAUUGAGUUUUUCUGCACUGCCAAAGUGAACGAAAUUCAUCCGGAUAAAGGUUCCGUGUGGACCUCUGUGUCUAACCAGACUGGUUCAGCUGUCUUAGUGGCUUUUGAUGAGGAGAUGGCUACAAUUACCAAAAUUCAAGCUGCGUAUAUUGUGGUAUAAAAGUCUGGCUAUUGACCUUAGCUAUUCUAAAAAUAUAGAUUUUUUUCCGGAGCUGCGUAUAUUGGGGUCAAUGCUAAGGUUGAUAGGGAACUCCGUCAGUUCAUUACUGAGAUUGUUGGUAGCACCUACACAUUCCAGCUAAAGCUAAUCGCUUUCAAUUUCACUUCAAAGCACCAAACCUUCACCAUUUCCCGUAUAUUUACUGUGCUGGAGCGUCCAACUGUGCCAGCCUUUAUUAUAGAAGUUUGUCCCCAUUCCUAACUUCUGUCUGCUGCUCUGACAAAUAUUUAAUCUCUGAAUCUUUUACAGUGUAAAUAGGGAGGUGCAGAUGUCCCUCGAGCUAAGCUUCCUUGAGUGGACACACAAUGAUCAGCUGUUGCACCAAGUGAUGAUUGCAGUGUUUCAGCGGUAUCAACCAAGCAGCAACUUGAUCCAAAAGAAAAUGGACGGAAGAAUGUACGUUUGGAAUAAGUACUCUGGAUAGCUGCACCACCGCAAAAUCAACUUAUGAAUCUUUUGGCUUUAGCAUCUUCUCACUUUUCGUUUUUCCCUUUCUGAUUUUUUCUUUUUAAUUAAUACCAUUUUAGCGGUCAGAACUUGUACUAUUGAUGCAACUUUUUCUCCAAAUGUAUAUUAUCGACAACAGUUUUUUAUUUAUUAAACUUCCCA